rnacentral:miRNA from 1 species
UUUGUACGUGGCGGGAGAUAU